GAUGAACGCUAGCUACAGGCUUAACACAUGCAAGUCGAGGGACCGGCGCACGGGUGAGUAACACGUAUCCAACCUGCCCUUUACUCGGGGAUAGCCUUUCGAAAGAAAGAUUAAUACCCGAUAUAAAGGAUGGGGAGACGUUCCAUUAGGUUGUUGGUGAGGUAACGGCCCACCAAGCCUUCGAUGGAUAGGGGUUCUGAGAGGAAGGUCCCCAACAUGGGAAAUGAGAAACGUUCCAAACUCCUACGGGAGGAAGCAGGGAGGAAUAUUGGUCAAUGGGCUUUAGCCUGAACCAGCCAAGUAGCGUGAAGGAUGAAGGCUUAUGGGUCGUAAACUUCUUUUAUAUAAGAAUAGGUAUUAUAUGAAUAAGGAUCGGCUAACUCCGUGCCAGCAGCCGCGGUAAUUC
rnacentral:rRNA from 1 species